GAUGAACGCUGGCGGCGUGCCUAAUACAUGCAAGUCGAACGCUGGAGAUCUAGCUUGCUAGAUCGAAGGAGUGGCGAACGGGUGAGUAAUACAUAAGCAACCUACCCACGAAGACUGGGAUAAUCUCUGGAAACGGGGACUAAUACCGGAUAGGUAAUCGGAAGGCAUCUUCUGGUUAUUAAAGGUUAAAAACACUGGUGGAUGGGCUUAUGGCGCAUUAGUUAGUUGGUGAGGUAACGGCCCACCAAGACGAUGAUGCGUAGCCGGCCUGAGAGGGUGAACGGCCACAUUGGGACUGGGACACGGCCCAGACUCCUACGGGAGGCAGCAGUAGGGAAUGUUCGGCAAUGGGGGCAACCCUGACCGAGCAACGCCGCGUGAGGGAAGACGGCCUUCGGGUUGUAAAGCUCUGUUGUAAGGGAAGAACGGUAGAUAGAGAAUAUCUAAGUGACGGUACCUUACCAGAAAGCCACGGCUAACUACGUG
rnacentral:rRNA from 1 species